rnacentral:rRNA from 1 species
UACAGAGGGUGCGAGCGUUAAUCGGAAUUACUGGGCGUAAAGCGCGCGUAGGCGGCUUUUGCAAGUCGGGGUGUGAAAUCCCCAGGCUUAACCUGGGAACUGCAUUCGAGACUGCAUUGCUAGAGUAUGGGGAGAGGGAAGUGGAAUUUCCGGUGUAGCGGUGAAAUGCGUAGAUAUCGGAAGGAACAUCAGUGGCGAAAGCGACUUCCUGGACCAAUACUGACGCUCAUGUGCGAAAGCGUGGGGAGCAAACAGG